rnacentral:rRNA from 1 species
GACGAACGCUGGCGGCGUGCUUAACACAUGCAAGUCGAACGGAAAGGCCCUGCUUUUGUGGGGUGCUCGAGUGGCGAACGGGUGAGUAACACGUGAGUAACCUGCCCUUGACUUUGGGAUAACUUCAGGAAACUGGGGCUAAUACCGGAUAGGAGCUCCUGCUGCAUGGUGGGGGUUGGAAAGUUUCGACGGUUGGGGAUGGACUCGCGGCUUAUCAGCUUGUUGGUGGGGUAGUGGCUUACCAAGGCUUUGACGGGUAGCCGGCCUGAGAGGGUGACCGGCCACAUUGGGACUGAGAUACGGCCCAGACUCCUACGGGAGGCAGCAGUGGGGAAUAUUGAGCAAUGGGCGGAAGCCUGAUGCAGCAACGCCGCGUGCGGGAUGACGGCCUUCGGGUUGUAAACCGCUUUCGCCUGUGACGAAGCGUGAGUGACGGUAAUGGGUAAAGAAGCACCGGCUAACUACGUG